GCCCACCUUGGUGUCCCAAAGUGCUGGGAUUACAGGCAUGAGCCACUGCACCUGGCCUCUUUUUUUAUAGCAUGCCAAAUUUUACAUGUUUCCCCAAAUUCUAGCCUAUAUCUCACCUUGCAAAACCCACCUUGAUAUGUAUGUACCCUCUCCCAGUGAUUGGACCUUAUUCUCUUGGCAUCAGAUGUGAAACUAAUGAGCUUCACAACUGGUGAUCAAGGCCCUUGAAUAGGGACUGAUAUGCCAAUACAUGGAAGGAUUUUUUUUUUUUUUUGCACAAAAUUUAGGUUUAAGAAGCUAUAAUUUCACUUUUAAAUAAUUAAUUUCUUUAAGUCCCUGCCCUGCUUGUUUAGAAUUAGUGUCCAUAUUCACAUUAACUUUUUCUUUUUCUUUGUUUAGCUUUUAAGUCCAGGAGUACAUGUGCAGGAUGACGUUAACUUUUUCUAACACAUUGAAUGUUGCAUGUUUACACCAUUCCCCUGUCCAUCCUCAGGUUUAUUUCAUGUGUCACUUGCCAUGAACUGAAAUUUGUUUGGAAAUUAGAGAGUGAGGGGCAAGUAGAACUUCUCUUGAGCCUAUUCCAAAUUCUCAUAUGUCUCUUUAACAGGCAAGAUCACAUUAUAUUAAUAGAUUUCCACAUGUGUAGCUUCAUACCUAACAAAAUGUAAUCACAUACCGACACUCCUUGAAAAUACAUUUAAAAAAAUGGAAAUUCGUACAUAGCUACAUUUCAUUCGUAGGCUCUUCUGGUCGACUGACACAUUGAUGGCUCCCAAUCAAUCACACUGUUUUGCAUGAAUACCCUCUUUUAGUCCCCUUCCACGUGGACCAUGGAUUUGCCCAUGUAAAUUGCUGUGGCUUCCAGAAGUUCCAUAAGCACUUGCACAUUGGGGUUAGUCCUUUUGGAAUGCUCCCUUUUGGAAUCUUAAGGAACCCUGCUAGAGAGACAGAGACCGUCUAGAGGAAAAGAAUCAAGGUACCCUAGCCCAGCCACCAGCUGAGUGCAGAUGCAUGAGUGAUCCCAGCCAACACUACAUGGAACAGAAUAGUCAAUUCAUGGGAACAUGACAAUAAAUCAUUGUUUCAACCACUAAAUUGGGGAUGGUCUGUUAUACAGCAGUAGGUCACUGAUACAGCUUUCUCCAGCUAAAAGAUUAGCGACAUGGUCAGAUGACUGCUGGAGGUGAGAAUUUAGCAAAAAGACAUAGGGAUGGAGGAAGAGAAACUAGAAAAACUGCCUAAUAGAGCCUCCCAGAACUAGAACUUCCCUUUGUCACUUCUUAGAGUUUAAUGACACUGUUAUUUCAAUGAUGUAAUAGCCAUUCUGGGGAAUGUCUUUAUGUCAUCACUUUAGAAUGAAGAAUCUUUGAGUCUGUAAAGCAAGGAGGUCAACAGACACAGGCUCUGGAGUUCAGCUCUCCUGCCUUCAAAUCCCAGCUCUGUCCCCAGAAAAUGCCAGCUGUGCCAUGAAGACCCUUAGCUCUAUGGAGAGAUAUGCAUGGUGAGGAACUAAGGACUCCUGACAACAGCCAGCACCAGGCCUAUGAAGAACCUGUGUCAUGUUAAGUGGCCAAAGUCAUACGUCGAAUUCUGCAAGUACCAGAUUUAGGCAGGCACCCUUGCAGAAGUUGCAGCCACAGCAGGGAUAACAUAACAUAUAGAGAGGAGUUCAGGGCAAGACAGGAGGUGACCAACUACAUAAUCCCUGUUCAGGAAUCCUGCUGACCCCCUCAGUGAAAGAAAUUUUGCCAGUGAUAAGAAUGGAAAAUUGAAUUAAAGUUAAAUUUUCAGGCUGCUGAGCUCGGGGACAGCAGAAUAACACUAAUGAAGCUUAUAGUAUCUUCCCAGGACUGAAGGACUCCAAUCUGCAGAGACAAUCACUUCAAGAUGGAAAGUCAGAACUGAAGAGAAAUUCAUGUGAAUGCACACUUUAUCCAGGAAGGAAUUAUAUGCACAUGAGAAGAGGAGAUGGCAUCUGAACCGCCCACACCCCGACCCAAAUUCUUUACGCAUUUUGGAACUGUGAAUGAUUUUGCUUCAUUCAGAACUGUGGGGUCUUUAAGAAGCAUAUUUAGAAACAUGACCUCAUACUAAUGUUGGACACAAGGAGGAAAGCAGAUGGUAAAUCAUAACAUUUCAGGAUCAGGAAUCCUGAGACAAAAGCAAUUUGGAUCCGGGAGCUAUUUCACUAGAUUUUGGCUAUCACAGACACAGGACAAUAUAUUAGACAUUUCAUCACAUUGUAAAGGAUGUUACCUCAGCUUCACAAGGUGUUGCCACCCAGCUGACACCAUAACUGAGUCUUCAAAAGGCCAUCACACCCUUCUAUGAAGCCAGUAGCUUCAGGAUAAUGGGAAUAUGUGAUCACUAGUUCCUGAUGAUGAGCUGUUUUAAAAGCAACAAGUGGGUUCCAUAUACAGCAUGGUACACUGGACAAAGAGAUGACUCACAUCCCAGCUGCUGCAUCGAAAUAAAGCCUUCUUCCGUGGCAAUACUCGUUUUCUCAGUGAUAGACUUUUCGUGCAAUGAUCAACAGGACCUAGAUCAACCCCCUGAUAUUUUGGUAACAGUUUCAUGGAAAAAAAAUUCCACAUCAGGGGGAAGAAUUAUACAAUACGAGCCUGAAAAAUCUUGAUGGGUUGGAAGGCAAGGUCUCCAUCAAAGGACUCAGUGGACAACAUGGAAGACUUCCAAGUAGCCAAAGAUGAAAUAAUUUCAGCAUCAAAAAUAAUGAUGCAAUUGGUUAAAACCGUUAAGUACUGUCUUAUGAAUUCAAAACGAUCCUUCACAACAGACAGAGGUGGAGAAAAAUAGAGAAUUCGAAAGUGAGAGGGUAGAGAUGGCAUCUCAUUGGAUACCAUUUAUAUUAACUAAAUACCAAUGCCUUACUUUCAAGACUGUCAAUUAAAAGGAAAGAGGUAAGCAUUUAUUCUGCCUUUCCUGUAUAAACAUUGCAGGCUAACCAAAUAGCCCUAUUGAUGAAGAAGGAAAAGUACCUGUUUACAAAUAAACUCCAGAAAUUUGCAAUGGAUAAUAGAAUUAGAAAUUCAGUUUUCAAACUCUAAUGAUGUAAAAUGAUUUAGGCAAAACCCGACAUGGAUGAACCAUUAGGUGAACAGUUGAUGGAGAGAUCAG